rnacentral:tRNA from 1 species
GCUGCUGUAAUUCGGUGUUUUUCAAUUUUUGAUGCUCAAAAAGCUCGAAAAAUCGGGCAAAAAAGGGAACGAACGACCACAAAAGAGAUCAAAGCACUUCAACGAUUUACAAACUUAAAAUCCCUCGGAGUAAAAUCCGUACCGGUUCAAGUCCGGUCAGCGGCACCA